rnacentral:misc_RNA from 1 species
GAUGAAGAACGCAGCGAAAUGCGAUAAGUAAUGCGAAUUGCAGAAUCCGUGAGUCAUCGAAUCUUUGAACGCACAUUGCGCCCUUUGGUAUUCCGAAGGGCAUGCCUGUUCGAGCGUCAUUAUCACCCCUCAAGCCCGGCUUGGUGUUGGACGUCUAGCCAGUCUCUUAGGAGCCGGCUCGCCCCAAAGAUAAUGACGGUGGUCUGUGAAGUCACCAGUACGACGAGCCCCUGGGCAUGUACUGUUCUCGAGUUCCAGCGCCGGUCUCGCUCACGACGUGAGCACUUUUUUUCUGAAAGGUUGACCUCGGAUCAGGUAGGGAUACCCGCUGAACUUAAGCAUAUCAAUAAGCGGAGGA